rnacentral:rRNA from 1 species
CGAUGGUUCAUUCAAAUUUCUGCCCUAUCAACUUUCGAUGGUAGGAUAGUGGCCUACCAUGGUUGGUAACGGGUAACGGGGAAUUAGGGUUCUAUUCCGGAGAGGGAGCCUGAGAAACGGCUACCACAUCCAAGGAAGGCAGCAGGCGCGCAAAUUACCCAAUCCCGACACGGGGAGGUAGUGACAAUAAAUACUGAUGCAGAGCUCUUUAGGGUUUUGCAAUUGGAAUGAGUACAAUUUAAAUCCCUUAACGAGGAACAAUUGGAGGGCAAGUCUGGUGCCAGCAGCCGCGGUAAUUCCAGCUCCAAUAGCGUAUAUUAAAGUUGUUGCAGUUAAAAAGCACGUAGUUGAACCUUGGGCCUGGCUGGCCGGUCCGCCUCACCGCGUGCACUGGUCCGGCCGGGCCUUUCCUUCUGGGGAGCCACAUGCCCUUCACUGGGUGUGUCGGGGAACCAGGACUUUUACUUUGAAAAAAUUAGAGUGUUCAAAGCAGGCCUAUGCUCGAAUACAUUAGCAUGGAAUAAUAAAA